rnacentral:lncRNA from 1 species
GAGGGUAGCUGAUACACGAGUCAGUGGGAUUCUGUAUUUAAACCUUUUAAAAAAUCAGGAAAUCUCUAUAUUACUAUAAUUCCUAUUGAAUUGUGUUCUGUAUAUUCUUAGUGGUGUCGAUCACUAACAUUUGGGGAAAACAUCAAUUCAAUACGUUUCCAUAUAUAUUAUAAUUCUCUUUGUUCAAUACGCUACGAGGGGAAAAAAGAGAGUCAACUGUCACUCAAGAACUGUCUUAACGUAGUGGUUAUAUUCUCUAUGGAACUGUCAAAUCCCCUUCGUUUAUCUUCUCCCAUUAACAAAAGUCUUCAUCAUAAAGACAUUCAACUUUAAUACCCAGAUUAAUACCUCAGUAAUCUGCAGUCUGAAACAACGUGACAUUGGCGGAAUAGCUUCAUAAUCAAGCUCGUCGCCAGUAAUCAAAGAAGAAGAAGAA